CACGUAGGAGGCAAGCGUUAUCCGGAUUUACUGGGCGUAAAGCGCGUGCAGGCGGUUUGGUAAGUUGGAUGUGAAAGCUCCCGGCUUAACUGGGAGAGGUCGUUCAAGACUACCAGACUCGAGAGUGAUAGAGGGAGAUGGAAUUCCGGGUGUAGUGGUGAAAUGCGUAGAUAUCCGGAGGAACACCAGUGGCGAAAGCGAUCUCCUGGAUCAUUUCUGACGCUCAGACGCGAAAGCUAGGGUAGCAAACGGG
rnacentral:rRNA from 1 species